rnacentral:rRNA from 1 species
CCUACGGGGGGCUGCAGUGGGGAAUAUUGGACAAUGGGGGGAACCCUGAUCCAGCCAUGCCGCGUGUGUGAAGAAGGCCCUCGGGUUGUAAAGCACUUUCAGUGAGGAAGAACGCCUGGUGGUUAAUACCCAUCAGGAAAGACAUCACUCACAGAAGAAGCACCGGCUAACUCCGUGCCAGCAGCCGCGGUAAUACGGAGGGUGCGAGCGUUAAUCGGAAUUACUGGGCGUAAAGCGCGCGUAGGUGGCUUGAUAAGCCGGUUGUGAAAGCCCCGAGCUCAACCUGGGAACGGCAUCCGGAACUGUCAAGCUAGAGUGCAGGAGAGGAAGGUAGAAUUCCCGGUGUAGCGGUGAAAUGCGUAGAGAUCGGGAGGAAUACCAGUGGCGAAGGCGGCCUUCUGGACUGACACUGACACUGAGGUGCGAAAGCGUGGGUAGCAAACAGGAUUAGAUACCCCGGUAGUC